GUGUUCACUUCGGCAGCACUUCUACUAAAAUUGGAAUGAUACUGAGAUUAGCAUGACCCCUGCUCGAGGAUGACAAGCAAAUUCGUGAAGCGUUCCUUAUUUUU